ensembl:lncRNA MIR222HG miR222/221 cluster host gene
GGAGUUGCUUGAGUAUUGUCUGCCGGGGCCGGCGCUUGCGUCAGGGUGCUCCCUCGCGCUUUCGGGGGUAGGGAAUGGGUUUGCUGAACUUACUCUGAGGGCUGAUUCUGCACAUGCCCUUGGCGCCUUGUGCAUGUUUGGACAAGGGUUUAAUGGAGGCACGUGGGAGCAGUAUCGAUCUCUGGCGGGUCCCCAAAGACCCUCUUGGGAUAGUCCAGAGCGUGUUCGGGGUUGAGAGCGAAAGGAGAGUGUUCCGUGUGAAUGUGCGUCCUAGGGAGGAGGAGGACAGUGUCUCAAGGAGACUUGAUUUUCUUUUAUUUGCUGCAAUUCCGUAAACCAAAUCAUGCUUUCGAGGCGUUAAAGUAAAUUACUGGUGGCAGUGUAGAAGCCAGACCGGGAGCUUCCAGAAGUGGUUUCUGAAAGAGUCAAAUGUACAUGAGUAAGCAAGCACAGGAAUCUGAAAAACCACAGGCCCACUAAUUUGCCUGCUUGACUAAAAUAAGGACGAGUUAUGUGCUGAUGAGAGACAUGUUUGUAAUGUUAUUCGUUGUGACACAGUUCAAAAGAAUUUGCCUUUGAUUCUCACUAAAAUGUAAAGUUUUGCAUAUUAAGAUCCUUUUUCAACAACUGAGCAACUCUUUAUAAUGAAGGGCAGAAGACGCCAAAGGGAAGAAAA